rnacentral:lncRNA from 1 species
GGUCACUAGACCUACAGCACCCUUACAGCAACCCACUGCCCAGCACAGAGACUGUGGCUCCUAAGUGUCCCUUCCCACUAAAUGGAGCCUGUACUCCCUGAAGUGACCAACCCAAGCAGGGCAGGAAAGUACAAGAGAACCCAAAGUGUCUUGGGGUUCAGAAAGCAAGGACAUACUCAGAGCGGGUGGGUGGUAUAAAAAGGACCCAGGCCUGGCCUGAAGCCCCUUCCACAGCCCAGUGGUAAUGUCAAAAUAGACCAUGACAAUAAACUAUCACCUGUAAAAUAAAACGGAACCUGAGCCCACACUAAUGGAUGAAUAAAUGACACAAACGGGAGGGAAAGCCAAGGGAUAGCGAGAGAGUGGUGAAUUAGGACACGGUUCAGCAGCUACCCGGGAAUUUGCUCAGGCUCUCUAUAGGCGCUCAAACUGGUGGGCAGUGGGAUGAAGAACAGGAGAGUCUGACACUCUCCAAGCACCUCAGCACAGGAAAAGAUCCAAGUUCAGUCUGUACUGUGUGUUUAUCUUGUUUGCACCCUCUGUACUAGAGCUUGGGGCAGUGUGAUCACGAGGAAGAUGCACGGAACAGGAUCCACAAAAAGGAGACAAUUUCUUUUUUUUCUCAGUACCGGGGAUUGAACUCAGGACCUUGUGCUUGUGAGGCAGGUGCAGCACCACUGAGCUAAAUCCUCGACCCAAAGAAGACAAUUUCUGAAGACGAGAGAAUUAGCUUCUUAAUACCAAAUACAUGAAAAAGCAAAGUGGAAAGUUUUCUUGGGACAUGUGCACUGACCCAGACUGCUCAAGGACCUGAGGGUGUUUAGAUGGGUGUGAGCCCCACUGCCACCCUGUGUGGACACAGACCAAGGAACAGAAGGCUAGCAACUGGCCAAGGCCCAGAGUGCCCACUGAUAGGCACACGAAGGGGAGGACAACACUCCAAGAAACUCCAAGAAGCGCCCGUUCCAACAAAUUCUUACAGCCACAAACUGAGAAGGCCUCAAUUUUAAAACUGUUAACACCACUGCUGGCCAUAGCCCCAGUGCUAGGAAGGAGGCUCCCGUCAUUGCUUGGACGCAGGGCUGCUGCCCAGAAACAGCAAAGCCAGCUGGCCAAGAUUAAUGGGAACUGAUAAGAAAACCAGGGCAAGCUAGGGAUAUGCUGGAGGAAAAUUAAUUUGUAUUUGAAAUAGGAAAAAAGGUCCAAAGACAAGGGGUGAAGGGAGGGGAAGGGGAAAGGAAAAGAGGGAAAGGAAAAACCAUGAGAAAAAAAAAAAAAAAAAAAGGAAAUGAAAUAUAUGUAAAUAGGGAAGGGCGGAGGGGGUGAAAGGUGCACAGGUAAUGGGGAAAAAAAAAAAAGAACCAAGAUACAUCACGUACAGGUACAGACACCUAAUGAUAAAUGUAAACGAACUGUAUACCUAAAAUG